rnacentral:tRNA from 1 species
GGGCCGUUAGUUCAAUCGGGAGAACGCAUCACUGGCAGUGAUGAGGUAGGGGGUUCGAAUCCCCCACGGUCCACCA